GAACAGGGAAGUAGACCCAAAAAAUCACAGGUACUGGAAUCUGAUGGCAACAAGAAGGACCUAAGUAAAGAAGAUCUGCAUUUAUUAGCCAGGAUCCUUUCAGUCGGACUAGUGGAUGCAGAUCCAAACUACCUCCACCAUCUUAAAGGCUACCGGGACCUCAGAGGUGGAUGAUGUGGACAGAGACGCAAAUUUACGAAAGGACACAAAAGACGACCGUUGGUCAAAAGUCCCACCAUUAAUUGUCCUGAGGUUGAAAACAGAGAGACAAGACAAUGGCAGGCAGAAGAUGUCGCUGGAACGUACUUUAUUGGAGCUUUUGACAGCAAUUAAAAUGUUAACAUGUAGAACAGGACACAGAACAGCUACUGUAUACGUAUAUGUGGAAAAAUAUACAGUACAGUAUUGAGGAAGUGCAGAGAGUCUGAAAUCCUUCAAGCAAGAGUAUCAACUAGCUUUAUACUAUACUGACAAUUCCAAGUAUUAAUGGUGUGUAAUGUUUAGGUUUAAAAUUUGCAAACAAUUUUCUUGAAGUUUAUUCAACGUAUUGCAUUGGAAAAAAAUGUGGUUUGUUCCCUUUGGAAAAACAACAACAACAUUUUCAGGUCAUAGAUUUAUCAGAGCCCUAUACUGACUCUUCCUCUCUCAGUACCGAUUACAUCUGUUUUUCCACA